GUUGAUUACGUCCCUGCCCUUUGUACACACCGCCCGUCGCUACUACCGAUUGAAUGGUUUAGUGAGGCUCUCGGAUUGGCCCCGCUGUGGCUGGCAACAGUCGCGGCGGCGUGCUGAAAAGACAGUCGAACUUGAUCAUUUAGAGGAAGUAAAAGUCGUAACAAGGUUUCCGUAGGUGAACCUGCGGAAGGAUCAUUACUAAAAUAUUCAAGUGUCUCUAAUAAAUCVAAACUGUAAUCUAACGAUAAGCCAGCCAGCACGCAUUGUGCUGCACAACAACAAACUUUUCUCUCGCCCGCAAGGGUGUUUAAAACUAAGACAACUCUCAACGGUGGAUCACUCGGCUCGCGGGUCGAUGAAGGACGCAGCUAACUGCGUUAACUAGUGUGAAUUGCAGAAUACACAGAACAUCAAVCCUCUGAAUGCAAAUUGCGGUCUCGGGUCAAUCUCGGGACCUCGUCUGGCUCAGUGUCUAUUCAAAGCUAUACGCCGUCUUCGCAGACGAGCGAUCGUGACUGCUCGGCUCGAUGAGAGCCGACGGUUUAAGGUAGCAGAGUAGUGUCGUCGCUUCGUGCGGCCGCGCGUUUUGAGCUGAUUCGCGCGGGCUUUGCAGCCGGCUUCUCGAAAAAAAACAUGUACUUUGUGGGGGUAUCUGCUGGUAUCGUCGCUGUAGGCGGCCUAGCGCUCCAGGGCGUGGACCUUCGGGUCGGCCAUGGCAAUACCGUUCACGCACGCGAAGUCGAGGUAGGCUACACGAGUAUCGUCGCAUCAAGCGGCCGCGUUGAGAUGACCCGUCGAUGGGUGUCAGCGCGGGCCUUCGGGUCGGCUUGCAAAACAACCUUUAAGCUUCGCGAUGUUUGGACCUGAGCUCAGGCGGGACUACCCGCUGAAUUUAAGCAUAUUAUUAAGCGGAGGAAAAGAAAGCAACUGCGAUUCCCUUAGUAACGGCGAGUGRAUCGGGAAGAGUCCAGCGCUGAAUCUGGCCGUCCUCGAGGCGGUCCGAAAUGUAGCGURUAGGUUUCUCCUUGUUGGCUUGGCGCGCCCCUUAGUUCUUCUGAUUAAGGCCCCGCCCGUAGACGGUGUUAGGCCGCUUUCGGGGUGCGCUUUGUCGACUUGGURUCUCCUCGGAGUCGGGUUGUUUGAGAAUGCAGCCCRAAGUGGGUGGUAAACUCCACCUAAGACUAAAUAUUCCCGCGAGACCGAUAGCGRACAAGUA
rnacentral:rRNA from 1 species